rnacentral:rRNA from 1 species
GGCGGCCGUAACUAUAACGGUCCUAAGGUAGCGAAAUUCCUUGUCGGGUAAGUUCCGACCCGCACGAAAGGCGUAACGAUUUGGGUACUGUCUCGGAGAGAGACUCGGUGAAAUAGACUUGUCUGUGAAGAUGCGGACUACCUGCACCUGGACAGAAAGACCCUAUGAAGCUUUACUGUAGCCUGGAAUUGGGUUCGGGCUCUUCUUGCGCAGCUUAGGUGGAAGGCGUUGAAAGAGAGCUUCCGGGUUCUCUGGAGCCACCAGUGAGAUACCACUCUGGAAGAGCUAGAAUUCUAAUCUCGACCCCUUAGCGGGGCGUGUGACAGUUUCAGGUGGGCAGUUUGACUGGGGCGGUCGCCUCCCAAAGAGUAACGGAGGCGCGCGAUGGUGGGCUCAGAGCGGUCGGAAAUCG